rnacentral:rRNA from 1 species
UGGGGAAUCUUAGACAAUGGGGGAAACCCUGAUCUAGCCAUGCCGCGUGAGUGACGAAGGCCCUAGGGUCGUAAAGCUCUUUCGCCAGGGAAGAUAAUGACGGUACCUGGUAAAGAAGUCCCGGCUAACUCCGUGCCAGCAGCCGCGGUAAUACGGAGGGGACUAGCGUUGUUCGGAAUUACUGGGCGUAAAGCGCGCGUAGGCGGAUCGUUAAGUCAGGGGUGAAAUCCUGGGGCUCAACCCCAGAACUGCCCUUGAUACUGGCGAUCUUGAGUUCGAGAGAGGUGAGUGGAAUUCCGAGUGUAGAGGUGAAAUUCGUAGAUAUUCGGAGGAACACCAGUGGCGAAGGCGGCUCACUGGCUCGAUACUGACGCUGAGGUGCGAAAGCGUGGGGAGCAAACAGGAUUAGAUACCCCCGUAGUCC